GCAUCGAUAGCUCAGUGGCAGAGGGGUGGGGCGUUUACCCAUGCGGCCCGGGUUCGAUCCCCGGUCGAUGCA